rfam:Pantoea sp. AS1 10__len__136164, whole genome shotgun sequence.
CCCGAAACUUCGGGGAGAAGGAUGAGAAGCUUCGACCGAAGGUUCGGGUCGAGCGCAGCGAGACAACGCGCGCAAGCGCGUCCCGAAGGGUGAGGCGCAACGCGCCGAAUAAUCCUUCUCCCACCACCA